CCUACGGGGGGCAGCAGUGGGGAAUAUUGGACAAUGGGGGCAACCCUGAUCCAGCCAUGCCGCGUGUGUGAAGAAGGCCCUCGGGUUGUAAAGCACUUUCAGUGAGGAAGAACGCCUGGUGGUUUAUACCCAUCAGGAAAGACAUCACUCACAGAAGAAGCACCGGCUAACUCCGUGCCAGCAGCCGCGGUAAUACGGAGGGUGCGAGCGUUAAUCGGAAUUACUGGGCGUAAAGCGCGCGUAGGUGGCUUGAUAAGCCGGUUGUGAAAGCCCCGGGCUCAACCUGGGAACGGCAUCCGGAACUGUCAAGCUAGAGUGCAGGAGAGGAAGGUAGAAUUCCCGGUGUAGCGGUGAAAUGCGUAGAGAUCGGGAGGAAUACCAGUGGCGAAGGCGGCCUUCUGGACUGACACUGACACUGAGGUGCGAAAGCGUGGGUAGCAAACAGGAUUAGAUACCCUUGUAGUC
rnacentral:rRNA from 1 species